rnacentral:rRNA from 1 species
AGUGUAGGCGGUUAUGUAAGAUAGCGGUGAAAUGCCGGGGGCUCAACCUCGGAAUUGCCGUUAUAACUAUGUAACUAGAAUGAUAGAGAGGAUAGCGGAAUACCCAGUGUAGAGGUGAAAUUCGUAGAUAUUGGGUAGAACACCGGUGGCGAAGGCGGCUAUCUGGCUAUAAAUUGACGCUGAGGCUCGAAAGCAUGGGGAUCAAACA